rnacentral:rRNA from 1 species
CCUACGGGUGGCAGCAGUCGAGAAUCAUUCACAAUGGGGGAAACCCUGCUGGUGCGACGCCGCGUGGGGGAAUGAAGGUCUUCGGAUUGUAACCCCCUGUCAUGUGGGCGCAAAUUAAAAAGAUAGUACCACAAGAGUAAGAGACGGCUAACUCUGUGCCAGCAGCCGCGGUAAUACCGAGUUCUCACGCGUUGUUCGGAAUCACUGUGCGUAAAGCGUGCGUAGGCAGUUUCGUAAGUCGUGUGUGAAAGGCGCGGGCUCAACCCGCGGACGGCACAUGAUACUGCGAGACUAGAGUAAUGGAGGGGGAACCGGAAUUCUCGGUGUAGCAGUGAAAGGCGUAGAUAUCGAGAGGAACACUCGUGGCGAAGGCGGGUUCCUGGACAUUAACUGACGCUGAGGCACGAAGGCCAGGGGAGCGAAAGGGAUUAGAUACCCGAGUAGUC